rnacentral:rRNA from 1 species
UACGUAGGGAGCAAGCGUUAUCCGGAUUUACUGGGUGUAAAGGGCGCGUAGGCGGGAUGGCAAGUCAGAUGUGAAAUCCAGGGGCUCAACCCCUGAACUGCAUUUGAAACUGUCGUUCUUGAGUACUGGAGAGGUUGACGGAAUUCCUAGUGUAGCGGCGAAAUGCGUAGAUAUUAGGAGGAACACCAGUGGCGAAGGCGGUCAACUGGACAGCAACUGACGCUGAGGCGCGAAAGCGUGGGGAGCAAACAGG